UGCAAGUCGAACGGUAACAUUUCUAGCUUGCUAGAAGAUGACGAGUGGCGGACGGGUGAGUAAUGCUUGGGAACUUGCCUUUGCGAGGGGGAUAACAGUUGGAAACGACUGCUAAUACCGCAUAAUGUCUUCGGACCAAACGGGGCUUCGGCUCCGGCGCAAAGAGAGGCCCAAGUGAGAUUAGCUAGUUGGUAAGGUAAAGGCUUACCAAGGCGACGAUCUCUAGCUGUUCUGAGAGGAAGAUCAGCCACACUGGGACUGAGACACGGCCCAGACUCCUACGGGAGGCAGCAGUGGGGAAUAUUGCACAAUGGGGGAAACCCUGAUGCAGCCAUGCCGCGUGUGUGAAGAAGGCCUUCGGGUUGUAAAGCACUUUCAGUUGUGAGGAAAAGUUAGUAGUUAAUACCUGCUAGCCGUGACGUUAACAACAGAAGAAGCACCGGCUAACUCCGUGCCAGCAGCCGCGGUAAUACGGAGGGUGCGAGCGUUAAUCGGAAUUACUGGGCGUAAAGCGCACGCAGGCGGUUUGUUAAGCUAGAUGUGAAAGCCCCGGGCUCAACCUGGGAUGGUCAUUUAGAACUGGCAGACUAGAGUCUUGGAGAGGGGAGUGGAAUUCCAGGUGUAGCGGUGAAAUGCGUAGAUAUCUGGAGGAACAUCAGUGGCGAAGGCGACUCCCUGGCCAAAGACUGACGCUCAUGUGCGAAAGUGUGGGUAGCGAACAGGAUUAGAUACCCUG
rnacentral:rRNA from 1 species